AAAUGCGCUACGGGGAACAAUAAAAACAGCGCGGGGGUAGCGUUGCCGGCACGCUUUCGGCGUGCCGGCAGCGGUUGUCUGCAUGCACGACGGGGCCAAUCACCACAACAAGCCACCAUGCAGGCACGUACGCCCAUUCGAUGGGCGUUCCGCCGUCCGGCCGGGGGAAGCAGAUGCGGGCGGCGGCGGACGCAUUUUUUGU
rnacentral:ncRNA from 19 species